CAUUCUCGUUACAGAAGAAAAUUCCAAAGCUGAGACAUAUAAAGACCAAGAUGCAACCCCAGAAGAGUCUAGACUUUCUUGACACUGAAAAGCUAUCUCCCGUUACAACAGGAUUCUCAGUGAAAAAUCAAGCUCUGUGCAUGAGUUUAAUCAGUGCUGCGAUCUCCACGGAGGAAGAAAAAAACGAAAGUGUCGGCAGAUGCUAGCUAAGGCUGUUGAUGCAGCUCAUGUGAGGGACUCUGCUCUCGAACACCGGGAUGAGGGGGAGGCUUCGACCUGGACAUAUGCAAAGUAUAUGAUAACCACCUUGUAGUCCAAAGACUAACACCCAGGUAUGUAUGGAAAGCCUUUUGAGCUGUUGGCUGUGGAGUUGUUGAGUCUCCGAGAGACUCUCAAAGCACUCUAGGCAGUUGCUGUUCCUCUUGGUUGCCUCCCAAAACUCGAACGGACGUCCCUAUUUCUGAAGACAACAUGAAUUUUGGACAUGGGAAUCAAAGGAUCAACCUGAAUACCUCUUUCCUGAGCCUUAGUUACCGGAAGAUGCUGUCCUGGUUAACAAGGGAGGAAAGUAAUCAAUAGCCCAACCCGGCUGUGAUGCCUACGAACCCCAACAAUGACCAGUGCAAUAGAGGAGAAUUUUCAUAAUUCUCUCCCUGUGGCCCUGAAGGAUGAAUCCACUUGAUCAUAAGAGAAACAGCACUAACCCUUCAUCAAAGAAGUCUCUUUACGAAGCAGACAGAGACCAUCACAGAAAGCCUUAACCGGAAAUAUACAGAAAACAG
rnacentral:sRNA from 1 species